GAUGAACGCUAGCUACAGGCUUAACACAUGCAAGUCGAGGGGAAACGAUAUUGGAAGCUUGCUUCCGAUAGGCGUCGACCGGCGCACGGGUGAGUAACGCGUAUCCAACCUGCCCACCACUUGGGGAUAACCUUGCGAAAGUAAGACUAAUACCCAAUGAUAUCUCAAGAAGACAUCUGAAUGAGAUUAAAGAUUUAUCGGUGAUGGAUGGGGAUGCGUCUGAUUAGCUUGUUGGCGGGGUAACGGCCCACCAAGGCGACGAUCAGUAGGGGUUCUGAGAGGAAGGUCCCCCACAUUGGAACUGAGACACGGUCCAAACGCCUACGGGAGGCAGCAGUGAGGAAUAUUGGUCAAUGGGCGAGAGCCUGAACCAGCCAAGUAGCGUGCAGGAUGACGGCCCUAUGGGUUGUAAACUGCUUUUAUAAGGGAAUAAAGUGAGCCUCGUGAGGCUUUUUGCAUGUACCUUAUGAAUAAGGACCGGCUAAUUCCGUGCCAGCCGCCGCUGUAA
rnacentral:rRNA from 1 species